rnacentral:rRNA from 1 species
GAUGAACGCUAGCGGCAGGCCUAACACAUGCAAGUCGAGGGGCAGUUCCAACUUCGGUUGGAAGCGACCGGCGAACGGGUGAGUAACGCGUUUGUAACCAACCUCUGACUGGGGGAUAGCUCCCGGAAACGGGAAUUAAUACCCCAUAAUAUUCAGGAAGGGCAUCCUUUUUGAAUUAAAGCUCCGGUGGUCAGAGACGGGCAUGCGUGACAUUAGCUAGUUGGUGAGGUAACGGCUCACCAAGGCUACGAUAUCUAGGGGGUCUGAGAGGAUGAUCCCCCACACUGGUACUGAGACACGGACCAGACUCCUACGGGAGGCAG